CUAGGUUAGCGUUCGAGAUCUUGG
rnacentral:siRNA from 1 species